UGACAUUUAAUCCUCCUUUUCUUCCCCCUUUACCAACACAGUAUCACAUUCAGGCAAACUGAGACCCCAGAGGCUUUGGUGCCUAGGAACUCAUAUUCAGAGACAUAAAGUUUACCUGUUUGAGGCUAGUACCUGCUUGAGGUUCAUUCUGGAAACACUGUGAGCUCAGGUUCUUUGUCUUUCAAGCCAAUUCUCCCUUCAUUGAGCUCUGUCAGGUGAGUCUGAAAUCUAUUUGUAUGAGCACAAGAAGUAUAUUUCGGUCUGUAAUUCUCUCUGUGUCCCUGUGUGGUUCCCUCAGCCUCUCUCAAGUCUCUGUGUCUUUGAGUGAAUUUCUGCUAUGUGUGUGCAAGUGUGUGCUUGUGUAUUUGCUAUCGUUUGGCUUAUGUGUAUUUGCUAUCAUUUGUUUGGCUUAUGAUGGAAGGGUUUAAAACAAAUAAAAAUAAAAUUCC
rnacentral:lncRNA from 1 species